rnacentral:lncRNA from 1 species
AUGGGUUUUCACAGGCCUCGGCUGGGGUUUCUGAGGAGAGCAAGCUGCCCUCCCCACUCCCCCGCAAAGUCACUGGGCCAACUCCAGGUCGCAAACAAAAACCUGUUGGCACCGACUCCUCUAGGAAGGGCCAGCCUCUCCCAACGCGCCGCGCUCCUGGGGAGCCGCCCCAAGGAGAGCGAGCGGAAGGGGCUCCCGGAGAGGCCGGCCCCCACGCACCCAUUCACCCACCCGAUUAGCCCAGCGGGACCGCCGGGCGGGGUCUCUGCCAUCCCACGCGGAACAAAAGGCAGCUGGAGCCUGGCUCUGCCGCCCCCGUCCCCGCUGUGCAGUGGGGGUAGGGGUGGGGGUGGGGAGGGAGAACCUGGUCCCCGGGGAGGGGAAGGUGGCCCCGCUCCAGCCCAGAGGAGACGGGGGACGGGCAGGCACCCCGGACAGAGGGCCCCCUCCUUCGAUUUCUGGAGGGAACGGGGGCUGGGCUCUGCACAGGGGCGGGAGAGAAGCCAGUCUGGGCUCUGGAGGAAAGGGGCGCCUGGCCCGCGGAGGGGAGGAAAGUGCUUCGGGGAGGAGGGGCGGGGUUGCUCCAAGCUGAAAGGUGGAGGGCGAGGGCCUGGAGGGGGCUCCUGGAUCUGGGGUGGGAGUAAGGGGAGCCCCAGACUCCGAGGAUGCAAAAGGAAGAGCGCCCUGAUAGGGAAACGGGGCUCCUUGCAGCGGAAAGAGAGAUCCAGAUGGGGAGGGGGCUAUGCUCCAGCCCGCGGAGCGGGGCUUGGUCGGAAAGGAGGGGUCCCGCCUGACGUGGAGACCCCGCUGGGGCAGCAGGGGAGCACGCUCUCAGGGGCUGGCUGGGGGGCGCGGGCCUGCGCUCUGGGGGCGUCCGCCCCCUGGGGAGGGGAGGGUCCGCGCCCUGGGGCCCUGCUCCGGCCCCCGAGCCCCGCGGGCCCUGGCUCACCUCCGCUCCUCCGGGCCGGCGCGGGUGCGCGGCUGCGGCCGCCAGUAGCGCUGGGGAGGCGGGAGCGACCGGAGACCGCGGAGCCGCCGCCGCGUCUAGCUCCGUUUGACACCCACACACCAGCCAACAUGGCGGCCGGGAGGGGGCGCGCCGGCUGCGUGCGCGCGCCCGCAGGCCCCGCCCCAGACCACAGGCCCCGCCCCCGUCCGCGCAGGCCCCGCCCCGCGACCCCGCACUCCCGCGACCCCACGUGGGCCUGUCCCGCCCCCCCACGGCGCUCCUCUGCGUACGCCCGCAUUCCCCAAACAGCCCCCUACUGCCUACUCACGUGUCCAGACGACCCCCCAACCGCCGCUGGAACCCCGGCAAAUUCGUACCCGAACCCGUGCAGUCGGCGGCCUGCGCUCAGACGCACCCCCAGUCCCCGCGCCUCGCCGCCGUCCACCGCCCCCGAGCCCCUGGUGCAGAGCUCAGUCCUCAGCCCGGCGGCGCGCCGGGAUACCGGGUCGGAUCAGGCUUCUCUCGGGCGGGCUGGAAGGGCGAGGGGCCGGGGCGCUGCGCACAGGAGGCAGACCAAGCUGCGAGAGAGGCCGGCCUCACAGCUGACCGCCCCGCCCCGGUCAGGCUGGGGUAGCAGAGACCCCUCACAGCGGGGCCUGGGGUAUGGAUCAGGGCUGCUAGGAUGGCAGGCGGUUCCGUCCCCGCUGCCUGUGUUCCAAGGAGGCUCAGGUGACAUCAACGCCACGCCAAGCUGUGGUUUCAGGAAAGCUGUGUCCAGAAGUCCCACUCUGCCCUCAUUUCCUGAGGGACCUCGGGCAGGUCACUGCACUUCUCUGAGCCUUGAAUUCCUCCUCCCUGUGAAGGAGCCUGAUGGACGAAGGCAUCCCUUCUGUCCUCACAAGCUGGGAUCUAGACUGAUGAGGAUUUUUAGGCUGCUUAAUUUUAAAACGGUUUAUGAUGAGGAUUUUUAG